rfam:Schistosoma curassoni strain Dakar, Senegal genome assembly, scaffold: SCTD_scaffold0000475
AUCCAGCUGAUGAGUCCCAAAUAGGACGGGAACACACGUCCUGGAU